rnacentral:rRNA from 1 species
AACGUAGGUUCCGAGCGUUAUCCGGAUUUACUGGGCGUAAAGCGCGCGUAGGCGGCUUUGCAAGCCGGAUGUGAAAUCCCCGGGCUUAACCUGGGAACUGCAUUCGGGACUGCAUUGCUAGAGUAUGGGAGAGGGAAGUGGAAUUUCAGGUGUAGCGGUGAAAUGCGUAGAUAUCUGAAGGAACAUCAGUGGCGAAAGCGACUUCCUGGACCAAUACUGACGCUCAUGUGCGAAAGCGUGGGGAGCAAACAGG